ACGUGAAGCAAAAAUUGCAGCUCUAAAACACUCCAGUGUUCUGGAACGCAACUGGGCACGGCCGCACGAGAAAGAUCCUUCUCUCCACGUUGAGAGAAAGCACUGGUCUCCGGGCAAGCGAUUCAUUUCAUAGAGCGUUCGUCCCCUGGUUGGUCUUGCAUGGAAACCAUUCGACGAUAUGCCCGGAGGGAGGAGAAGCGCAUCAAUGAUUUAAUGGGGGAGUUGGGGACCCCCAUGCCUCGCGUCGUGGGCGCUCGUGCAUUCUUUGUCAUCCAUUCUUCACGAAGCAAGCAGUGACAGCGACCCAGCAGAGUGGCCAUGCACCCUGCUCGUGUGGGAGAGCAGUGGCAGAGUGAGCUACGAUGGCAACAUGGUGGUCUAAAAUUUGGUGGCUAAACUUUAGAUCAUUUGAUCCAAAUAGAGCCUUAUUUGAUGUUAUUUUUAUCCCCGCUGUGUUUUCUUUCAGUGAGGAGACAUCUGUGUCAUGGGAAAACAUGACCAUGCACUUUCUAACUUAUUACUGCACACAAUGUUUAAAUAAUUUUGAUUAGCUAGCGGCCAUCACAGCCAGUGCCUAGUGAUCGGAGCUCACCACCAAGGUGGAGAGAUGCCCAUGUGCACAAUGAAACU